rnacentral:tRNA from 1 species
CAUAAAAUAGUUUAAUUUAAAAUUGUGGCUUUGGGAGCUGCGGAUGAAUAAAAGUUUUUUUAUGA